rnacentral:tRNA from 1 species
CAGGGAGACAACAAAAUGUUUAAUAUUAUUAUUUUGUCACCUUAGGUCGAUCGGUAUCUCACGUUCUUAAUUUAUUAAGAAUUUCAUUUCCUAAGUUUUUCUAGGUCACACCCAUUACUUUUCCCUGGGCCAUUAGCUCAGGUGGUUAGAGCGCACCCCUGAUAAGGGUGAGGUCCCUGGUUCAAGUCCAGGAUGGCCCAUAUCUCUAUGUUGGGGGUAUAGCUCAGUUGGUAGAGCGCCUGCUUUGCAAGCAGGAUGUCAGCGGUUCGAGUCCGCUUACCUCCACUGAUUACCACCUCUUCCAUAAAUGUAAACAAGGGAAUAGUUAUGAGUGUUGAAUUUAGAUCUGAACGAAUCUAGCUUCCUAAUAAAUACAUUAAGAUGCUGGACUCAUUGAAUUUUAUUCAUUGUUUUCAGAGAACCUUGACAACUGCAUAGAUUAUUUUUAAAGACAAUAAGCAUCUUUAAUGAUGCAGAUUUAUUAUUUGUGCGAAUGCAUUAAUAACAAUUCUAUUAAGCUGAUGCUUCAAUUUUUGAAGUUAUU